rnacentral:rRNA from 1 species
GACGAACGCUGGCGGCGUGCUUAACACAUGCAAGUCGAACGGAAAGGCCCUGCUUUUGUGGGGUGCUCGAGUGGCGAACGGGUGAGUAACACGUGAGUAACCUUCCCUUGACUUUGGGAUAACUUCAGGAAACUGGGGCUAAUACCGGAUAGGAGCUCCUGCUGCAUGGUGGGGGUUGGAAAGUUUCGGCGGUUGGGGAUGGACUGGCGGCUUAUCAGCUUGUUGGUGGGGUAGUGGCUUACCAAGGCUUUGACGGGUAGCCGGCCUGAGAGGGUGACCGGCCACAUUGGGACUGAGAUACGGCCCAGACUCCUACGGGAGGCAGCAGUGGGGAAUAUUGCACAAUGGGCGGAAGCCUGAUGCAGCAACGCCGCGUGCGGGAUGACGGCCUUCGGGCUGUAAACCGCUUUCGCCUGUGACGAAGUGUGAGUGACGGUAAUGGGUAAAGAAGCACCGGCUAACUACGUG